rnacentral:rRNA from 1 species
AUGCCGGCAGGAGGAUUCUCGGCGUCUUCGGCGCGGCCGUCCGGCAUGGAGUUUGAGGCCAAGAUCACGCCUAUGGUGGUCACCUCCUGCGUCACGGCGGCCACCGGCGGGCUCAUGUUCGGCUACGACAUCGGCAUCUCUGGCGGGGUGACGUCCAUGGAGGAUUUCCAGCGUGAGUUCUUCCCGACGGUGCUCCGCAAGAGCCGCGAGAACAAGGGGAGCAACUACUGCCGAUACGACAGCCAAGGCCUGCAGCUCUUUACCUCGUCCCUCUACCUCGCCGGCCUCGUCUCCACCUUCUUUGCGUCCUACACCACCCGCCGGCUCGGCCGCCGCGCCACUAUGCGCAUAGCCGGCGCCUUUUUCAUCGUCGGCGUCAUUUUCAAUGGCGCUGCACGGGACCUCGGUAUGCUCAUCGUCGGCAGGAUCCUGCUUGGCUGCGGCGUUGGCUUCGCCAACCAGGCUAUUCCUCUGUUCUUGUCAGAGAUCGCACCGACUACAAUUCGCGGUGGCCUCAACUCCCUAUUCCAGCUAAACAUCACGGUCAGCAUCUUGUUCGCCAACCUCGUCAACUAUGGCACUAACAGGAUCCACCCUUGGGGAUGA